UACGUAGGUGGCAAGCGUUGUCCGGAUUUAUUGGGCGUAAAGGGAGCGCAGGCGGUGACUUAAGUCUGAUGUGAAAGCCCACGGCUCAACCGUGGAAGGUCAUUGGAAACUGGGGAACUUGAGUGCAGGAGAGGAGAGUGGAAUUCCUAGUGUAACGGUGAAAUGCAUAGAUAUUAGGAGGAACACCAGUUGCGAAGGCGGCUCUCUGGACUGUAACUGACGCUGAGGCACGAAAGCGUGGGGAGCAAACAGGAUUAGAUACCCGUGUAGU
rnacentral:rRNA from 1 species